rnacentral:lncRNA from 1 species
GCCAGCAUGUAGAUUUUACGCUGACGUGUAAGCUGUAUUCUACUUUUUUUUACCACAAACAGUCCGCGCCUGGCGUUGUACAUCAUACGGGUUGGAGUGGAAGCUCAUGCUGAUGCAGUGAUGCUGAACAUGCCAGUGUGUGUCUGAGUUCUGACGCCCGUGCGGCAGCGAACUCCAUCCAUCUGGCCUUGUUUAGUUCCGAAAAGUGAAAACUUUUCGGUACUGUAGCAUUUUCGUUUGUUUGUGACAAAUAUUAUCCAAUCAUGGACUAACUAGGAUCAAAAGAUUCGUCUCGUGAUUUACAGCUAAACUGUGUAAUUAGUUUUUGUUUUCGUCUAUAUUUAAUGUUUCAUGCAUGUGCCACAAGAUUCGAUGUGACGGGAAAUCUUGAAAACUUUUUGGUUUUCAGGGUGAACUAAACAAGGCCAGUUUCUAUGAGUUGCCAGCGCAUCGCCGUGUGAAGUGUGAGGCCUGGUUUAGUUCGAGAAAAAUUUUGGAUUUCGCUACCGUAGUAUUUUCGUUUGUUUGUGACAAAUAUUAUCCAAUCAUAGACUAACUAGGAUCAAAAGAUUCGUCUCGCGAUUUACAGGUAAACUGUGUAAUUAGUUUUUAUUUUCGUCUAUAUUUAAUGCUUCAUACAUAUGCUGCAAGAUUCGAUGUGACUAAGAAUCUUAAAAAUUUUUGAAAACUAAACAAGACCUGAACUCGCGUUUUCUCGAUCGGCGCACGUUCCAAUGGCUCCCUUUUACAGCUAGGCCGCACCCGCACGUCCCAAUUAUGCUUCAGUUUUAACCUUUGGUUUGUCACGGGGCAAACCAAAAGAACAUUUUUUUUUGCGAUUAAAAGAACCAAUUUAAAAGUACGGAGUACGUCGUUUGAGUCUUGGGGGCAAUUUUGUUUUGAAAGUUCCGCCUUCCAAGUUAGGCCUAGUUUAGUUCUGUUUUUUUUUAUUUUGGUACUGUAGCAUUUUGUUUUUAUUUGACAAAUAUUAUCUAAUCAUAGACUAACUAGGCUCAAAAGAUUCAUCUCGUGAUUUAUAGACAAAUUGUAUAAUUAGUUUUUGUUUUCAUUUAUAUUUAAUACUCCAUACAUAUGCUACAAAAUUUGAUGUGACAGAGAAUUUUGAAAAGUUUUUGGUUUUUGAUGAACUAAACAAGCCCUUAGAUUCCUGUUUUACCACACGCUAUUGCCAAGUGUUUGUUUGGCUUCGUCCAACCGUAAAGCUUCUUCUCUCAAUUAUAAACACCAAGGAUAUACGGUGACUCUCCCCAACGAUCCGAGUUUUAGGACCUCGUGAUGACUUUGGCAAGCUGAAUAACACAGUGGCUAAUAAUGCUAGUAGCGUCAUAUUGUCUUAAAAAUAUCUUUUUAAGAGAAACAGAGUGUAAAUAGUACUCAAUCCAUCUCAAAUUAUAAGUCGUUU